rnacentral:misc_RNA from 1 species
UUGAUUUAAAGAUGUGCUGGCACUCCUUCACAGGUUUGCAUGUGCACUCUAAAAUCUCCUCUUUACCCCAUUGUGCACACUUUAGUAGGCAAACCAAUUCACAGAGCAAUCUGUGCAAUUUCCUUUGCCUAUGUUUUUAUUAAACACCAAUAACAUGUUAGAAUGAUCAUGUAGUAAGCUUUUAACAAGCUGAAAUCUAAUA